GACGCUACGGACUUAAGAAAAUCCGUUGGCUUUAAAGACCGUGAGGGUUCAAGUCCCUCUACCCCCA
rnacentral:tRNA from 1 species